rnacentral:rRNA from 1 species
UUGAUCAAGCUACAAAGAGCGCAUCAUGGAUGCCUUGGUGCCAAUAGGCGAUGAAGGACGUGGUAAGCUGCGAUAAGUCACGGAGAGCGGCAAACACGCUUUGACCCGUGAAUUUCCGAAUGGGAUAACCUGAGCGAGCUAACACUUGCUCGAGCUUCUGUGAAUUCAUAGCAGAAGCAUCGCGACACCCGGAAUUCAGAAGACGAUAUCUUCUGAACCUAAUUCGGUUUAUUUUGUUAAUUCUGUCAAAAAUUUGGGUUUUGAAGUGGCGGGGGGGUUGUAGGAGCCCGAUGUGGUAGUGCAAAGGUUAGGUGAAGCUUCUGGAAAGCUGCGCCCCAGAGGGUGAAAGGCCCGUAACCGAAAACCCGAGCACGCCUAGGGAUUUCCUGAGUAAUACGAUGCACGUGAAACUUCGUAUGAAUCUGCGCCGACCACGGCGUAAGCCUAAAUACUAAUUGGCGACCGAUAGUGAACAAGUACCGCGAGGGAAAGGUGAAAAGAACCGCUAUGAGCGGAGUGAAAUAGUACCUGAAAUGAUGUGCUUACAAGGUGUCAAAGCCCAGCACCAGUUGGACAGAUGAUGUCCGAAAGAGACUGCGAUAUUGCAGUCCAACUGGUGCUGGGUGAUGGCGUGCCUUUUGCUUAAUGAGUCUGCGAGUUAUUAUCAGUGGCGAGCCUAAGGCGUUCUGCGCUGGAGGCGAAGCGAAAGCGAGUCCGAAAUGGGCGACCUAGUCGCUGGUAGUAGACCCGAAGCGGAGGUGAUCUACCCAUGAGCAGGAUGAAGCGCGGGUAAAACCGUGUGAAGGUCCGAACCGGUGAAAGUUGAAAAUUUCUCGGAUGACUUGUGGGUAGGAGCGAAAGACUAAUCAAACCCCGUGAUAGCUGGUUCUCCCCGAAAUAGCUUGAGGGCUAGCCUCGUGUGCUGACCUGCGGAGGUAGAGCACUGGAUGAACUAGGACCCAUACCAGGGUACCGAACUCAAUCAAACUCCGAAUACCGCAGGGUGUAACACGGGAGUCAGUGCGUGAGGGAUAAGCUUCACGCGCGAGAGGCAAACAUGCCAGACCAGCAGCUAAGGUGCCCAAAUACCGUUCAGUGGAAAGGAUGUGAGGUUGCUUAGACAGUGAGGAUGUUGGCUUAGAGGCAGCCAUCAUUUAAACAGUGCGUAAUAGCUGACUCAUCGAGCGAUCUCGCGCCGAUAAUGAUUGGCGAUAAACGGUAUACCGAAGCUCUGGAAGACAUUCUGGUUCGCCAGAAUGGAUUGGUAGGGGAGCGUUGUAGCGACGUCGAAGCCGCGACGGAAGUCGAGGUGGAGUUUCUACAAGUGAGAAUGCAGACAUGAGUAGCGAUAAGCCAGGUUAAAUUCCUGGCCGCCGUAAACCCAAGGUUUCCUGGGGAAGGUUCGUCCUCCCAGGGUUAGUCGGGACCUAAGUCGAGGCCGAAGGGCGUAGACGAUGGAAAGCAGGUUCAAUAUUCCUGCACCGGCUGUGGUUAAGUUUAGUUGUGACACAUGAGUAGAGACAGGCCGCCGGUUGAAAGUGACGGUCUGCUCGCAAGAGCAAGGACGGGGAGGCUUCGGCUGAACCGGAUCUGUUAAAACUUGUGUCAAGAAAAGCGACUAAAUGUUCCCACGGUUGCCCGUACCGUAAUCCGACACAGGUGGGUGAGUAGAAUAUACUCAGGCGCGUGAGUGAAACCUCGUUAAGGAACUCGGCAAUCUAGCCCCGUAACUUCGGAAGAAGGGGUGCCCAGCACAUUCAGUUCGUUCUGAAUUGAGGCUGCGGUUGGAGCGUCUCGUGAUGCUUCAGCAAUACAAAUCAAUCGAGCGGAUUGAAUGUGCUGGGUCGCAGUGAAAUGGGUCAACCGACUGUUUAACAAAAACACAGCACUCUGCCAAGUCGUUAAGACGACGUAUAGGGUGUGACACGUGACCAAUGCGGAAAGAUUAUGGCAAGACGUCAGCCGCAAGGCGAAGCGUUGAACCGAAGUCCCCGUGAAUGUCGGCCGUAACUAUAACGGUCCUAAGGUAGCGAAAUUCCUUGUCGGGUAAGUUCCGACCUGCACGAAUCGUGUAACGAGUUGACCGCUGUCUCAACGAGGAGCUCAGCGAAGUUGUAGUGGCGGUGAAGAUGCCGCCUACCCGCAGUAGGACGGAAAGACC